CUGGGUAUGGGGUUUGGAAGGAAGAUGGGAAGCUGGUCCUCAUCCACCCCCACCCCAGAGCCCCCAGGCUCACAGCUAGGGGUGGGAGGUGAAGAGAGUUCAUACCACUUGUAGGUUGACUGCAUACCCUCUAGGAGCUCAGAGAACAAGAGGCCAAUGCUUUCUGGAAGGAAGGCUUCAUGGAAGAAGUGGACUUUGGGCUCCCUUGUAAGGAAAGUAGAUUUAUAUGGGCUGAGACAAGAUUGAAAAACAUCCCAAGUGGAGGGGAUCUGGGAAACUGGAGGUGGAUUGGGAGCUUUAUCACGCUCUAUGAUAAAGCAAGCUGUCGUGUUGGAAAGACCUCAUGACAAGGAGCUGAGAGCGGUCUCUGUUCCACAGCCAGCAAGGAAGUGAGGCCCUCUGUCCAACAGCACACAAAGAAUUGAAUCCUGCCAACAAUCCCGUUCCAGGUGUCAUCAGGAUGCCGGCCAGACUUCCCUGGAUUGAAGACCCCACCAAUGUGUCCUGGAGCUCAGCUUCCCCAGAGACCCACCCUACUAGGGAAAGAGAGAGGCAGACUGGGAGUAUGGACCGAACAGUCAACGCCCAUGUUCAGCGGGGAAGCAAUUACAGAAGCCAGACCUUCUACCUUCUGCAACCCACAAUGACCCUGGGUCCAUGCUCCCAGAGGGAUAGAGAAUGGGAAAGCUAUCGGGGGAGGGGGUGGGAUAUGGAGAUUGGGCGGUGGGAAUUGUGUGGGGUUGUACCCCUCCUACCCUAUGGUUUUGUUAAUUAAUCCUUUCUUAAAUAAAAAAGAAAAAAAAAAGAUAAUAAAGAGAGAGAGAGAGAGAGAGAGAGACGGAGAGAGAGGUAGCCUUCCCUACUCUGGGAACCCUUCAAGCUUAGCAAACUCACUGUUUUCAGCAAGCUACUCUCUCAAAAUGGCCUGAAGUGGAUGGAAAUCC